UUUUAUGUGUGCACUGGUACAGUUUAGCGGGGAAGCGAAAGUUGCCAUGGAAUUUUAUCUUCUUCUAAAAACAAGUGUCUGAUACAUGUAGUUGCAGUCUGUCUUUGGAAGCUGUAGAAAUAACAAGAAAGAGGCUGACAUAGUGUUUUUGUAGGGAAAAGUUUGAGUAUGUACAUGUACAGUUGUUUGACCUGUCUUACCCUGUGGCAGUCCAAGAAGAUGUUACCAUUAUGAAAAAUGCAGGAGAACUUGAAGACAAUGGUUAGUGCAGAAGGGACAUAAAAGUUAUGACAAAAGUAACAGAUAUAAAUAAGAAGUGCUACAAGUGUGUUGUCAUGUGAAAUGGAAUUUACCCCAACUGUGCUGCAAGAUGUAUAUUCAAGUGCAAGACAGCCAUGCACCAGCUGUAAACUGAGAUGGACCCAUAUAAUAAAUAUGUUGACUUUCUAUUAUUUAUCAUCUGUACAGAAUGUGUUCAUGACAAGACUGUAUACAUAUAUUGUUAAAUCAUUUUUUAUUUCCAUUAUUGCAUGCAUGUAAGAAGCAAGCAUUUAACAAUUGCAUU